rnacentral:lncRNA from 1 species
UGCUGAGCCUCUUCCAGCUCACCUCCAUGAGGCUGGAGGUCCCCAAGGAUGUGGCCCUGGAGGACACAGAGGCACAGCUGGAUGUGCUGCUGCUCUGCAUGCAGGACCUGGCUGCCAUCUGUGCCGAGCUGGGGCUGUGUUCUCCUGUGCCUGCUACCACUGCCACACACCCACGGCGUCACAGAGCUGUCACUGUGCCUCCCAACCAGGAAUAGAUGGACUUAGGAUACAGUGGAGCACGAAAGUCACUCAACAUGUCCAGGGAAGGAUGAAGGGAAAUGCCCCAGUACAAAGCCUGGGCCACCGGUGCCCUCCUGCAAGGCACAUGGAUGGACAAAAGUAGAGCAGCUGCUCAUCUUCAGGCCAUUG